rnacentral:tRNA from 1 species
GGAGAGGUGGCAGAGUGGUCGAAUGCGGCGGUCUUGAAAACCGUUGACCGUGAGAGCGGUCCCAGGGUUCGAAUCCCUGUCUCUCCGCCA